rnacentral:lncRNA from 1 species
UCUUCAAUAAAUAUACUAUGUUCAUUAUUUACACACUAUUUAAUGUCAAAAAGCAUUAAAGUUUCUUCUACCACGUUGGAUGUUUCUGAUCUCAGAGAUAUGGAGUAGGCAUAAACAACUCUUCCUUGUCUACUCCUAAAAAUUCCCCCUCUUCCACAUAUACCGAGUAAAGGACUUUCAUUAGUGUUAAACAUAACAAGAUGGAGGGGAUGGUUUAUUCCAUUUGAUAGCUCCCAAAAUUCUUUGCUCAAUGUCUGCUUCACAUACUCUACAACAUUCUUCUCCCAGCUUAGCUCUUUCAAAUUUGUUUUUUAGCCCCUGCACAAGAAUAUUUAGAAUAUCAGUUUUAGUUUUAUAAAAAGAUAUCCACAAGUUUUCAAACUUUCUAUUGCAUCUUAACUUCCAUAGCUCCCACAUUAUGAUUAGAGGGAGUAUUCUAAUUAUAAAGUUGGCAAGAAUGUUUUCCACCAAUUGAGUAGCAUCAUCUUGUAGCUUCUGUUGGUGUGAUCAAUUUCCAGAGAUCUUGGGAAAAAAAAAUCCAAGCAAUAGAAAUAUAACGGAACGACAAGUUUAUUCAAUCUUGUGAAACAAGUUACAUCGAUGACAAAAUGAAAUAUGCAAUUAACAAAAGUAACAUAGGUAAGUCUUCCUCUAUGCAUAUGAAAAUAACAAUACAUUCAAUGAACAUUGAAAAAGAAAAAAAUUCGGAUUUCACUAUUUUUUAUUUCAAGCAGUGAAAAAUAUUUUCAAUAAUGUAAAUUUUUUAUAAAUGUAAUUUUUUGAGUCAUGUAAAUAUGAGUGUUAUUGGAGGGUGGGGGGCAUAAUCACAUUUAUCAUUAUCCAAAAAAUGACUUUCUUCGGUCCAUAAGAAAGUCAUUUUGCUCGAAUAGAGGAAAAUGAGUUAUCUUAGAAAAUAUUUUUUCAAUAUUUUACUACAACCAACAAAAAAAAACAAAAGAAAAAUAUUUUACAUCGUACCAAACACAACCAAAAUGUUCAACUUCAUUGAACACAAGUAAAUUUUUUAAAAAUCUCUCGAAUGAGUAAGUUCUAGCUGGAAAAAUAAUCAAAACACAAUCGAUAAAACUGAGACCCAAAUCCACUUAAAAAAGGCAAAAAGAAAAAAAAAUAACCCCCAAAGUACUUGCCUAUAGUCAGCAACUCACACUAUACACCAGCACACAAUUUCCAAAUCUUGCAAUGGAUCCGCUCACACUCCUCCGGGAGUACACAAUCCGCAACGAGCUCCACAACAUCAUCCGCGUCGGCGACGACUACCGUUUCGGCAAC